AAAGACAAAAAGAAAAAUGCUGUGGCUAGAGGACAGGGGUGGAGAGAGGGAAAAAAAGGACAAAAAUAAACAAAACAUCAAAUAUGAAAAUUCUCAGAGAUAAUGCAUUUAUAAACACAGAAAUGGUUACAACAAAGAUGGCCGUGAUGAGUGAGUAUAAUAUAUUUAUAUAUAUAUAUUUAUAUAUAAAUCCGUGUCCGGCAUCUGACUGUGGCACCUAGGGAGCUAAGUCCAGUCCUUGCGUUUGCCUUGAACUCUCCCUUCUCCGCAACACCCCUGUUUUGGAGUUUCACAGAUAACACAAAGCCUCCCACAGCUCCUUGGGGGUGGGUUGGGGAGACUGAGAGUAUAGGGUCUUUGUAGGCAGAGAAGGAGAGAGGCUUCAAGGAAAUCCGUAAAACCAUAACACACACUUCUAAGCCACCUGUGACCAACUUGGGAAUUUCUGGCCCCUUGGGGACCACAUCUCAGCCCUUGCCCCCUUCAAAUAAAAGGAGGUCUAGCCCCUACCCCAAAUCUCCUUCUACCAGCAGUCAAUAGGAAGCAAAGUGAGACGAUGUAGGGGAAGAAAUGGCUCUCAGGGACUGAGGCAUUUGAGAAACCUCUGUUCUUUUGCAGGCAAGAAUAGAACAAGAGGCUGGUUGCAUUUGGGGCUCCCUUUUCUCUGUUAUCUGGGAGGGCCAGCCUCUAGUCUUACAUCAGCCCAAACUUUGAGGAUAAGGAGGGUAAGGAUAGGGUAAGUGGCCACACUGGACAAGGUUCUAUGAGGUCAUAGCAAAUCCUUCCCUUGAGCACCGACCCCCAGUUUUAGAAGCUUUGCUUGGGAGGGGAGGCUGCUGGAUGACACCAUCAGCUCAGUAUUCCUUUGCAAUCAGGAGGGCUGAUGUUCCUUUUGAAGAAGAGUUCAGAAAAAGGAUGGUAUCCUGUGAAGGAAAGCCGUGACAGAGGCCCAAGGAGAUGGAGCCAAGGCCUGUCAAGGAAGAAAAGGACUUUUCCCACCAAGAGUUGGAGAAAGAAGACACCAGGACUACUUCUUCCUCUUCCCAGUGGGUGGCAGCACGGAUCUCUAAGAGCUGGCCAGGUGCUCCACCUGGAUGGUGCUGGUGGUGACAGUGAGGCAGAUGUCCUUAUGAUGCUCCGCCGUCUUAUACGGGGUCAGGUCAAAGGAACACUGGGGUGGAGGGUUGGGAUUGCUGUCCCCACCACCCCCACCCUGGGGGGCUGCCCCAGGAGACUGGAAGUGUGGUGGUGGCUGUUGCUGCUGCUGCUGCUGCUGCUGCUGCUGCUGCUGCUGCUGCUGUGAUGCCUGGGAGGCCUGGGCCUGGGCCUGGGCUUGAGCCUGAGCCUGAGCCUGGGCUUGAGCUUGAGCCUGGGCCUGGGCCACUGCUGCCGCUGCUGCUGCUGCCUGCACCUGUUGCUGAAGAUCAGGCGGGUUGUGUUUGCGCAUAUGUUUCAUAAGGUAUGUUUCUGAUGUGUAUGCCCGACUGCAGAUAGUGCAGGUGUACACCUUGGCAUGCUUCACUGUGUGCGUAGACAGGUGCACCUCUAGUGAGGCUGCAUCCGUGUACGCCCGAUGACAGUUGUGGCACUUGAAGGGUUUAUCUUUGUUGUGUUGCCGUCUG
rnacentral:lncRNA from 1 species